rnacentral:rRNA from 1 species
ACACGACUACAUUAGAUACCCGGUAGUCCUAGCCGUAAACGAUACUCGCUAGGUGUCGGCCACGGUGCGACCGUUGUCGGUGCCGUAGGGAAGCCGUGAAGCGAGCCACCUGGGAAGUACGGCCGCAAGGCUGAAACUUAAAGGAAUUGGCGGGGGAGCACCACAACGGGUGGAGCUUGCGGUUUAAUUGGAUUCAACGCCGGAAAUCUUACCGGGACCGACAGCAACAUGAAGGCCAGGCUGAAGACUUUGCCGGAUUAGCUG